CUAGGCCCCCGCGUUUAACAGCGCAUUCCACUCGCAGUGCAGCUACCUCAGCGGCCUGGUCUACUCAGGCAUCCUUGCCAGAGAUAUGCAGGGCAGCCACCUGGUCGUCGCCCUCUCCGUUUAUUAGACACUACAGAGUGGACAAGUAUGCUUCGGCUGAAGCUGCCUUUGGCCGUAGGGUGCUGCAGCAGGUACUUGUAUCUGAGGUUGAAUCUGUCCAGACCGAUCCCUCCCGUAGUUAGGGACACUAGGCUUUGGUAUGUCCCACUCUGACUGCUGUCUCCACCAUAACGGAGAAGGGGCGUUGGUACUUACCUGAGACGCACCUUCUAGUUCAGUGGAGACAGCAGUCAGCCCCUCCCUAUUUCGGUCUGGAUCCUCUUUUGUUUGUUUGUUUUGGAUAAUAAAAUUUGUUUCUCUAUUUUCCACGACGCAUUGAGUCUGGUUUUUCUCGCCUUCAUCAAAAUCUGGGGUUCCCAGCAGCAAGGGGCGGGACUUUCAGCUUCAACAGACUCAGUUAUCCAAUCUGAACAGAGGAGCUCCACCCACUCUGACUGCUGUCUCCACUGAACUAGAAGGUUCCUUCUAUGUUGUUGGACUAUGGAGUCAUGCCUGCUCAAUGGGUCAUCCUGUUAACCAUUUGCAAGACAUUGAAGUCAUGGCUGUUUCCCCAGGCAUUUGGAUCAAGGGGCGAAUGAGCUCUCCUACUAUGAGUGGGACUAUUACACUGCAAUGUCUGCCUGUUUCAAGUUUGGAUAAAGAAGGAGAUUGGAUUUCCUGCUGAGGAAUCAUAAAUCGGUCAUGGACAAGGAAAAACAUACAUCACAUCUGAGAUUUAGCAGAUGAGGUCAUGAUGCUGAUGAAAAUUAUGCAGCCAACCAGAAUUGUGAAGUCAAGAAAACAUUUUAAAGUGGCUACUUGAAAUGCUCAAGCUAGUUCCAGGUCAGACGUAACAAAACAUGUCUGUUUAUGGUCUAUUUCAAUAUGAAAUAUUAUUUGUGGCAUUGUCAGAAUUAUGUCUCAUAGGAUCUGGAAAUAUCUAUGUCCACAGACCAGAAAGUGACAACUGGAUGCUCUUAUCUUGGUCUGGAUGUGAUAAAUACCUACAAAAGUGUUGGCUUUGCUAUAGAUUACAUAGUUUGGCAAGUAUUGUGAAUUUCCAAUUAAAUAACCAUUUAAAUUAAUAGUUCCAUUGGUUGCUUGAACAAUAAAAAUGAACAUAACUGCAGUUUAUAUUCCUACAAAGAAAUACAGAUAAGGCAAAAGACAAGUUCUAUGCACAUAUACAAAUAAUCCUGGGUUCAUUGCUAUGGAGAGAAUUAUUUCUGAUAACUGGUAACCGAAAUUUCCAUGUUGUUAAAAAUCUGCAGGAUAGAAAAAAUGUCUUGGACAAAUUUGUUGCUGGAGAGCUGAACAACAAUGGCCUAUGCCUGCUAUCAUUUGCAGCAGCAAAUGAGAUAAUAGUUGGAAACAGCUUAUUUCAUUAUCCACUGAAACAAUACAUGAAACAAACUCACCCAGUGGAAAAGAUAUGUAAGUCCUUAAUUAUGCCCUAACAAACAGAAGUUUUUAAACAUCACUCAUGGAUAUCUGGUCAAUGAGAGGCACCAACUCUGGCUCUAAUCAUCCCUUGUACAGUUGUUCCUACAACUCCAAUUGAAACAAAUUGCUUGUAAUUAGCCACACCCAAAUGUUAUGACUGGGUGAAGCUACAAGAUCCUACUUGCCAGCAAAAAUUGCAACUGCUACUUACUAACUGUUUUGCCAACCUUAAACAUCUGCAAGAUGUAAGUGAUCAAGCACUAUUGUCAUGCCACAACAUAUAGAACAACUAUAAUUUCUCAUUAAUAAAGAAUGUGCCAAAGAAAGUUGUUCUGUAGCAAGAUAGUGAACAUGACUAUGGAUUUCAGACGAAUGUCUAGCACUAAUUGACAAACAAAAACAGUGCACAUUCAAAAAUGUGACAACUUAAUAAAUGUGUACCUGUUUCAAAACAGAAGAGAUUGCCUAUUGGGAUAAUAGAUAAUAGAAUAAUUUGAAAAAGCCACACAUUGCCAAGAAUAUUGAAGUCUUUCCUCAUAUUAUGCAGUAAAUUUCAAUAUUCAUAUAAUUUCAAUAUUCAAACAACAAGGUCAGAAAAUCAGAAAGCAGUUUUGUAUGCUAUAGAACUGCAGAACUGAAUCAUUAGCAAAAGUGUUUGAUACUUUUUAAAAGUCACCCUAUUCAGGAAGAUACUCCAGUAGAAUCAGUAAAACGAACAUUUCAAAAAUAUAAGUCCAUAUUCUCAAAAAUAAAAGUGACUAUUCAUUAAUUACAAAGAGCGAAAACUGCUGGAACAAAUGAAUUCAUGGCAGAAGCUUUCAAAUUUGAAGAUCAUGUAUUAAUUUUUUUUUGUUCCACUCCUUUAAAUGGUUUGGAAGCCACAAAAACACCAAAUCCAUUGAAAUAGACAAUAAAUUACAAUUUUAAAAAAUGAGGCAGUCAAGAAUGCAAGAAUUACUGUGGGAUUAGCUUAUUUUCAAUUGCAGGCAAUAUAUUUGUGAAACUAAUCAAUAAAGUCUUCAAAGGCAACUACUGUAUCCUACAAAUAAGCUGAUUUCCUGAAAGCGAAUGCUGUGGUCAAAUAUUUGUACUAAAUAAUUGUUCAAUAACACAAUAUGUAUGGAAAGAGCCUCAUUGUUGCAUUUGUUGACAUUGAAAUGGCAUGUAAUAGUAUCCAUCAGCCAACAUUGCAGAAUGAAUACCUGGUAAAAUAAUAGCCUUCUGCAGGUACAUAAGAAAUCAUAAAGUCAUAUCCAUCCAUUAAUGUCAAUAUAUCCGAAGACUUUCUUGUAUGUGCUAAUAUAAGACCGCAAAUAAUCUCUCUUCCUGUUCAAUACUGUGAUCAGUGCAAUCAUGUUGAAAAUCUUGAUUGGUAUGGUGUCAGAUUUGGGCAAGAUGAAUUCAUCAUAGAUCUAAUGUUAGCUAUUAAGAGCAUGAUUUUUACAGAAAGUGAAAGAGAAGAUUUUGAAAUCUUACUUUAAAAACUGCUGAUUAUCCAUACAGUAGCUUUAUUAUCAAUAUUGACAGUACUAAGGUAUCUACAAAUAUUGGCUCUCAGGAAACCUUUGAAGUUUAUUGAGUUCAGCUUGAACAAUUUAAAGAACAAAAUAACUAACAGCCAAUAUCAACAAAUCAACUGGCUAGAUUGCUUCAGACUUCAGAACCCGUGCAUGGCGGCUUUGGAAAAAAGUAGCAUAAAACAUUGCUAUUGACGUGUGCAUCUAUCAGUCGAUAAUACUAUCUACCAAUACUGUUAUAUGAUGCAGAAUCUUGAACUUUGCUUCAAAAUUAUUUGAGAGAGCUCAAAAUAUUCAAAAUAUAUUGACUGCCCUAAUAUUAGGGAUGUUAAUGUAUAAAAAACACAAAAUCAAAACAUGAAAGAAUGGUGCUGCAAACAGCCUAUUAUAGCCUGUGAAAUUCAGAUACAUUGAAUGUAAAAGUUUGGACACAUUUGCCCCAUGAUGAUUUCCUUAUCAACUGCUUUGAAAAAUCACACCCUGUAGGUUGGAAAGUACAGCAAUUGGUUCCAAAGAAAACUUGGCUGAAGUAUGUGGGAGAAGUUCUAAUGAACUUAGAUUUAAGACGAUAGAAGUUAAAAUCAUAACAAACAAAAAUGGAAGAUUAUACUGUGAGUGGACUCAUAGUACUUAGAGCCACAUAUUGGCUGUAACAAUGUUGUACUUACCAGCUGUGAGUUAACUUCAAGAUUGAGAUAAAUAGGGAUCAAAUUAUAUAGUUGACCUACCCUAUUAUAUCUUAAAGUUAUAUUUUCAUACACUUUGGAGAAAAGAGUUGAUAUAAUUAUUAUAUCUUUUAAGCUUUUUCCAUUACCUUGUUUUGGAGAUAUGAUCAUAUGUCUACUUAAAAUCAAUAAAUGCAAUAGAGGAGGCAGACAAUAAUUUUGCUAUCUAUUUUUCUACCAAAUAGUGCAAUGAAAAUUCCUGCUCUUUUGUACUUUUGGCAGCUAUGAAACCCACCUAUUCAUCUAUAAUAUUUUAUAACUUCAUCCAAAAUUUUCAAUUUAAGUGACUUGCCUAUAUUUUAAUAAUAGUAUUUGCUGCUAGUUAUCAAAAUCAUCUUUCUCCCCUUUUUAAAAACUGGGAUAAUUAUAGUCAAACCCCAAUACUGAGUGAAUCUGGUCAUUUUGCCCAUGUGUAAUAUGUGAAUACUGAGGACAAAUCACUUUUAUUAACCUUUAGGGUGGAUAACAUCUCUUUUGGUGCCUUUCCACAUUUCAACUGACUGCUCAGUCUAGAGCAGCGGUUCUCAACCUGUGGGUCGGGACCCCAUUGGGGGUUGAAUGAUGAUUUGCCAGGGGUCGCCUAAGACCAUCGGAAAUAUGGGAAGUAUACUUGUGAGUCGAAGAAUCCAAUGGUUGACUCCACAAGCCAGCUGCAGGCUCUUCAAAUCGCUAGCCGAAUUCGGCUUCAGGCGCGAUGAAUUAAAAAAGAGAGAAAUUUUGGCUCUGAUGUUUCCCUCUCAAGCCAGCUGCAAUCACUCCCAAUCGCUAGCCUAAUCUGGCUUCAGGCGUGAUAAACUUAAUAGGGAGGAGUCUCCGCUUUAAUGCCUCCGUCGUCAAGGCAAUCGCAAGCAGUUCAGAUUUCUAGCCAAUACGGCUUCAGGUGUGAUAAAUUCAAACCAAAAAUAAUUUUAUAGUUGGGGUUGCCACAUCGUGGGGAAUUGUAUUAAAGGGGUCGCCACAUCAUGGGGAAUUGUAUUAAAGGGGUCACAGCACUAUAAAGGUUGAGAACCACUGGUCUAGAGAUUUCUGACCUUUAGCUUGUGGCCAAUGUAGGAGUAGUCUAAAACCUAAUGCAAGUCUAUUGAAUCAAUCAACUCUAUAUACAGCUCAGGAAAAAAAAUCUUCCCCCUAGUUAAAGGAAUAUGGGACAUUAUAUACAGAUAAGCAGACAACAAUGUAGCAGUAUCAUUUAAUAUACCAACUGCUAGCAACUUGACUUUGUGCCAAGAAGCAUAAUAUUAGCAUAAUUCCAUAUAUUGGAGUGGCUAAGUGUGAUGAGCAGUUGCUUGAGGCAAGUCCAUACGUGUAAGUUCGAGUUGCUCCUUUUGGUCGUCCCUUUAGAGAAGGGCUUAGCAGAACUGGUCCUUAACAUGGAAAGGUUUCCCCCAGUAGCACAAAAGGCCAUAGAAAGAUGAAAGUCCUUGACAUCUUGCAGCUUUUGGGGUCCUGAAGGUGCAGAAUGGAUUUCUUCCUUGGCUCUCAAGUAACAAGGUGCAGCGUUCUUCCUGGUUACUGCACAACCACCACCUUUGGCUGCAAGGAUCUGGUCUAAAACUGAAGUGUUUUGCCCAAUUGUAGAAUUUCUAUGUGUAAGGUGCCAUUUACUUUGUAGCUGUAUCACAUACUAUUUCUGGUAUAAAUGCUUCAUAGUAAUCAUAAAUAUAUAUUUCCAGUCUUAUUACACAUACCUGAUUAAACAAAAAUCUUUGAGAAAACAUUGUCUGUUACUCUGAACCUGCAGGACUUUUACCUUUCUCCUUUUUCACAGAUGACCAAUUGUGAGCUAUUUGUUGUGUUUUCUCAAGAUGCCUGUUUGGCUUCUUUUUAUUUAUUUUGUAUUUGGACAGGAUAAGGCCUGCUGAGAUGCAACAGUCCCAUUCACAAAGUACAUCCUGUUGUCACACAGAGUUAAGUACACAUUCCAUGCAUGGAACAAUGAUAUGGCAAAGGACAGAUCUCUGCAAGCAUCGUAUUGGCUGGGGACAGGACUAAUCACAACUGUCAGGAUAGGUAUAAAGAAGUGACAUCUUUCAGAUGCCCCAAGUGUACCUUCUUGAACCAAUAAACUUUACUGACACUAAGCAGCAAAGCAUUCCAUUUUGGUUAUUAUUGUCUUAGUUUGGCUGCUAACUCAAGUAAGAAUUUUUCUGGCAUAAGGUUAAGCAAUGGAUCAAUUCUGCAUGACGGAUUAAAGAAUGCCUUGUUUCUUUGGAUGAGCAAAAGAAUGGAAAUCUUGACUCAGGUAGACCAUUGUCAAUUAUGCAGCAGAACAGAUUUAUUGGAGGUCACUUUAUAGUCACAGAAGAGGUAAAAUUGGCUAUUUGUGGCUUCAUAGUGGACAGGGUUAAUACAGCCUCAUUGAGUGACAGAAUCUCCUCAUUGCCAUAAGAUUCCUGAUCACAAUACCCUAAAAUAUUUAUUCUUGGAAGGAGAAAAGAAAAUGUGAAUCUAAUUAUCAUCCCAAUAAGAGAAUAUGUAUAUAUACAGUAUGUAUAUGUGUAGGGUGCUCUCUCAACUUGGUUGUUUUCUUGCAGAUGUUUCAUUACCCCAACUGGAUAACAUCGUCAAUAUGAUGUUAAUUACUUUGGGCAAUGAAACAUCUGCAAGAAAACAACCAAGCUCAGAGAGCACCAAGGACCCCUCAUUUCAACCAUGAGCUACAAAUUUUCUCCUUUACAAUAUAUGCAAUUCAGCAAAUCCAAGGUUUUUGGGUGGAAGGUGAAGCAACUGCCCUGAUCUUUAGAUGUAGAUGGAGCCCCUCCACAGGAUGCCUCAGGAUCUGAUUGUUUGAAUAUAUUUAUUCAGGACAGUCAAACUCAAACAUUUAAAAGACAGUUCUAAGAGCUCUUUUGGUAUUUUAGAUUUUUCCUCAUGGACCCAUGGGGGAGGAAGUAAUAUAGAAUAAAAAUACAGUAGGAAGGGUUCAAAGAUAUCUUCCAUUUUUAUGAUUAUUGAGCUGGUGUCUCAUACACCAUACUGAAUAUAGUGGUGACUAUAUUCAAACAUUUUCUAAAUUCACUGAAUGUCCUGAAUUGUAAACUAGUGGGCUCAUAUAAUAUUCUAAGGUACAAAAUAAAGUUAAAAAUAACUUUUUGGAUGUUCAGUUAAUCUAGUUAGUUAUAUUGUGUGAACCAAUACAGAAUUUUCAAAAGCCUUGAACAAGCCUAAUCUUUAGGUUUAUUCCAAAUCUAAAACGAACUGAUUGAGAUCCUGUCAAACCAUACAAGAUCCUGUCAAACCAUUUCUGACUCCUAGCAACCACAUAGGUACAUUUUCCCCAUGAUUCAAAUCCACACAGUUAGAUAAAUUACAGUCUAAUAACGUCCCAGAAUGAUUAGUUGAUGGGAGCUUAUGGGAAAGCAAGAGAAUGAAGCCUCAGUUGGAGAAAUGAGAGGCAAGAGAAUAGGGAGAGUCUAAAUAUAAGAAAUAGAUAUUUAUGCUAGUUUCAGUAUGACACAAUAGUGCCCCCUAAAGCUUCUGAUAAGCUGACCCCACAUUAAAAAGUCUGAAGUGAUGGAAUAUAAUGUUUACAACUCUCUCUGUAUAACAAAAUUACAACUAGUAAAAAUCACACUGAACAUUUCAAAUUCCAAAGAUUACUUAGAACAAGGGUCUCCAACCUUAGUUCCUUUAAGACUUGUGGGCUUCAACUCCCAGAGUCCCUCAGCCAGCAAAGCCAAUGCUGUUCAACUGGUGCUCCAGAUUUUUAUUUUUAUUCAUUUUCAGUUUUUUAAACUAUUUUAGUUGUUGUUAUUAGUCCUUCCAUUUGAUUUUUACUAAAUUCUGUUAUAAAUUUUCCCUCCCAUAUUUCCUUUCUAUGUAAUAUGUUUCUUUCUUUGCUUAUUAUACUUCUAAUAAAUAUUAUUUUAGACAGAUUACAAUACUAAUUGGAACAUUCAAGGUUUUAAAUAUUUUUUGUAUAAAACAAUGUCAAUAAAAUACAAAUAAUAAAAAUACAGGAGCUUUGCCUGUAUUUUGGCAAACCCCUAUCAAGCUAGAGACAAUCAUUGGAUAGGAAUCAAAAAUUGAAAGUGGGAAUCAGAACCGAAGAGCAAAUUGAUAUAAUACAAGAUCCAAGAAAGCUCUUCUGAAUCCUGACACCAAUAAAAAACUUUCUAGUCCUGGUCUCCUUUCUUAAUGUUCUGAUCAUAUCAAAUUAUAAAUCCAGUUCAAUUUUUAUCAUCCUACAGUAAUUCCUGCAGCUAUAUUGAGUGUAUAACUCUUAAAUUUCUUCAGUACAUUAGAAGUGCUAUCUGGAAGGCAACAGGUUGGGAAAGCUAUUUUUAUUUAAUAGCAGACUGCCAAUUUUUGCAAAUUCUAAAAUUUUAACCACCAUAUGUAUAACAGAAAAAUUACAGAAACUGCCCAGCAAUUUUCAUAGGAAGCAAGGUCUUACAGUCCAAAAUGUAUGUAACUCGGAACAAGACAGUUGGGAGUUAUUAUUUACAGUGCUUUGGAUGAGCUUCAGAUAAUACAUACCUGAAGCUUUUAUGAUCUAAGACGGUUCAGUGAAGCUGAAGAGGGGGCAAUCUAAGGCAGGCAAUCCUGUAAUUACAACUGCAAUUCUAAUAAUUCAAAGAAAACAUAUGCUUUAAGUUUAGUGGGUUUUGCCAUGCUACAUCUUCAGAAGGGAUAAGAAAUGGUCUGACUGUAAAGCAACUUUCUUUACACCUGAACUGAAACGUUUUUAAAACACAGUUUCUCUUCAAACCGAUGCAACAUCUGUUGAAUUGUUGUUUCCUAUUAGAAACUUGGGAAAAUCUUUUAACAGAGGCACAUUUGUGACUAAGCAGAGGGUGAAGUGAACUGCUACAUCAGCAUUUCUUAAUAGACUCAUCAGAAAUUUGGCCAAGACUAUCUUCUACGUACACUGGAGGAGGUUGACGUACUGAAUGAAUCGGAUGCAACUUGGAGCUGAAUUAGUUGGUUGCUAUGCUAAUUAAUCUACAUAUACCCUCAAGUUAUCAUUCCCAAUAUUGCAUAUACAGUUUACAUUUCUAGCACUAAUGAAUUGUGCAGUAAAGUAUAUAAGCCAUUCUACUGCCUGAAGCAAGCUCACAGCGAUAAAGAGCAAGAACUGAAGGAAUUCAAAAGAUAGCUACAUAGAGUAAUAACUUUUCUUAAGUGUUAUUAUGGUUGUUUUAACAUGUGGAUAGUCUGAUUUUGCCAAGUGAUGGAUUCAUAAUGAAGGUCCUCAUCACUGCAAGCCAGUGAUAAUGGUAUUACAGGUGCUUCUGCUGUCUAAGCAAUAAGUCACCUACUAAAUUCUGAGAUCUUUAUGAUAUUCAGGCAUUUCUACAAGUAGGCUUGAGUAGAGGCUUGCCUUUACUUUUCUGGAAACCCCCCUGAGCUAUUAAACUGACGUCAAUAGAUAGUUGUCAAACAAAGAUGAUUAAAAUUUGGCAAGGGGAAUAAAUUGAUGAAAGGUAGUUCUCUUGCUUCUCACACAAUGGGCACAUAAGCAGUGCUGCUGUGGGCAAAUAAAUAGGCAAAUAUGGUAGAGAAAAGGCAAAAUGCAGAUAUACUAUGAUUGGUUUACAGCGUGGGAGGGUUCCUACCACGAAUUUCAAAUUCAAAGAACUUUGGUUUCAAGUAUUCAAGAUGGGGGCAUAUUAAGGAUAGUAGCAGAGAUCUUUCAUGGGAAACACUGAGUGUAGAAAGAGAUGACUGAGUUCUUGAUCAUGGGUACAAGUCUGGCAGAAGAACAAUUUUCUUCUGAGGGUUGUUCUGUAAAGGGCUAAUCCAGAACACAAUAAACUCUUCAAGGACAUUUGCACUUUUCAAAAAUAAAUAAAUAAAUUCUCCAAAAUCCACAUGAACUUUCAGGUUUUAAUUAAAGCCCACUUCAACAGCAUAAAUGGUUUUGAAAUGCUCUACCCAGAAUGGAGGUAAUAAUAAUUCCUCUAAAUUUCUCCAGGAAAAUGAGUUAUUCAGCAAUGACUACACAUUCAUGCACACACCUUGAUUACAUCUUCGCUGUGUAACAUUGGAAUCUGACUGAAAUACUUUUUAAAGGAAAUCACUUUUAACAUUAGCAAACUGUCUUUCUGGUACUAUUGUAAAUUAUUACCAGCUACUUCUAGACACAUGCUAAAUACAUAUUAACAAUGUCUAAAGGCUGUUCUGCCUUUAUAUUGGGAUGUCAAAUUCUUUUUAAAGCUUAAAUUGGGUACUCUGCAGAGAAACAAAAAUAUUGGUUCCAAAUGUUUUCAUAAUUACAUGCAUUUAUAGAAAAUAGAGCAGGAUUAUGACAGAGCUUUCCACUAAAUUUUCUGUUUCUGGGAAGAGCUCUUUCUCAACCCUUUUUGUUCUCUGUCUGAGAUCACACAUCAUUUAAACUGGUACAAUCAUAAUUUAGGACAUCACAGCUAAUUGAUGCAAUAUACUAAACUAUAAAUUGUAGUUUACAGAUCACAGUGGCUCUUCACACGAAUACAUUAAGCCAAAAUCAAAGAAAAUUGCAUUAAGGCAAUUGUGUGAUCCGUGAAUCAAGUCCAUAACUAAUAUUAAACGAGCAUGCAAUCAAACGAUUACAAGUCUCUGGUUUCAACAAAGGGUGGCCAAUUUGAAAUUUUAACAUGUAGAGCACCAUAGGUUGGUUAAAAAGUUAUGUGCAGAGUUGAGUCAAGAGCAGUGGUGGGUUUCAAAACUUUUUACUACCAGUUCUGUGGGUGUGGCUUGGUGGGCAUGACUUGGUGGGCAUGGCAGGGGAAGGAUACUGUAAAAUCUCCAUUCCCUCCCCACUCCAGGGGGAGGUUACUGCAAAAUUCCAAUUUCCUCCUGAGCAGCUGGGACUUGGGAGGCAAAGAAUAGACAGGGGUGGGGCCAGUCAGAGGUAGUAUUUACUGGUUCUCCCAACUACUCAAAAUUUCUUCUACCGGUUUUCCAGAACUGGUCAGAACCUGCUGAAACCCACCUCUGGUCAAGAGGUGUUGUGUCUAUUAGGCUUUCUAGCCUAAUGCUUUGUAUAAAUAAAAUCUAUAAUUCAUCUGCUCUCCACUGAUAGGAACAUCUGCAAAUGGGUCGAAAAUGUUAAGAUUUUCAUGUGUAACUGUGUGAUUAAAACCUUGCCCCUCUUUUGCAUGCAUUGCACAUGAAAUCGAUCACACGGUCAUGGUUCCAUCGAUUUUUUUGGAACUCCUGCUACCCCCAGAUAUUUUUAUGACAGCAGAAAAUAGUAUUUGCACAAACGUGUCUUUGUGAGGACACUUUUUAAAUACAUCUUGCAAAGUAUUCAGACUGCAUAUAGGAAUGCUCUCAUAAAAUCUUCCUGGGUUUCUCUAAACUCAGAGAAUGUUCACACACUCAACUUUGGGCUUAUUCCUCGGAAAUGAGAAAUCUUGUAUGUCUAGAUUAGAUUCCAACUAACUCCAAAUUUAGAUUGCAGAUUUAGAGUGGAAGGAAGGAACCAAAGCUUCAGCUUUUGGGGAUCUUCCAAAUAGAUCAACAACUGCAUCCAUUGGCAUUGUUGUUCCUUCAGACAAAGGGGUCAAAUAUGGGCUAAAAACGUACAGAACGGAUCCCUUGGUUCUGUGAAAUUUCCAGAGAUAAUGGAUGAAAAAUGUCUCCAUAGAUGUUUUACCCAAACUAUUCUGAAGUUCAAGUACUUAGAAGUUCCCAUGGCAAUUAUUAUUUACACAGAAUGCCCUCUUUAUGUUCAGUUUUCCUGCUAAGCUCUAUUUUCUGAUUCAAGACUCUGAUGAUUUAUUGUUUGGCCUCUGAUUAGUAUAUUUCCCCAGUUUGUUACAAUUGACCAGUUCAAGCCCCCUCGUAAAUCUUUCAGCUCUGGUUUAUACUUGUGUGGCUGCUCAUAUGUGUACGCACAUGUAAAUGAAUUGCACAAUGGAGGUAAUUCUAAUAUAAAGGGUGGAGGGCAGGGUGGGAUGUCUGCUAAUUGAAUGACCUCACUCACUGUUCGGGGAACAAGUGGUACCACAACUUUUCCAAAAUAGCCUUCAAUAGUCUUGUAUAUAGCCAAGAAAUGUUAUUUCAAGCAACUUCAAUGGAGUAUUGAGAGGCACGCAAUGAAUUAUAUUGUUUAUAAUAAAAAAUUAUAUAUGGACUUCUCCAACCUAAUGGCCCAUAGUUAUGUGAAGCUACCAUUUCUACAAUCCCUGAGCAAUUGGCCCAACAUUUAUGGGAAUUCUGGGAGUUGCUGUCCCACAUAUUAAGAGAAAGUUAAGUGUGUGCGCGUGCACGUGGCAUGUGCAUGUGUAUGCAUAGGUAUAGAUUUUUUCCCCUUUUCUGGAUUUUUCUCCUAAAGAAAAUCCAUAUUAAUAGUAAAAAGAAAAACAGAGUUAACAAGUGCACAAAAUGGCACAUUAUUUCCUAAAAUCAUAAAUACUUUUGUCAGUUUGCCUUAUUUUUCCAGUGUGCUCACAGGAUAUGAUUUUGCAUUUGUGCCCAUUCUACAUUGAUGGGGGUCACAUCCUUCGUUCUGGAAUUCCAGGGCUAGAAAAAAAAUCAGAUAAAUUGAAAUAGCUGCAAACUAGGUCAACAGGAAUGAGCAAGGAACUAGAACAUAAUGGUACAGAGAGAGCUUAAAGAAACUGAAUGUGUUUAGCUUUAAGAAAGUGGAAGGGAAAUAUAAAUAUUCUUCAAAUAUCUGAAGAGAUAUACAGUAGAGAUCAAGCUCUCUUUCCUAUUACUGGAUCUAUAGGACACAGAAUGAUGAGUUUAAAUUAUAAAAGGGUUAAAUGGAGAGGGUGCGCAACUUAGGCGUUCUCCUGGAUGGGCGGUUGUCUUUUGAAGAACAUUUGACGACCGUCUCCAGGAGAGCUUUAUCAGGUACGCCUGAUUCGCCAGUUGCGCCCCUUUCUUGACCGGGAUUCCUUAUGCACAGUCACUCAUGCUCUUGUUACCUGUCGCCUGGAAUACUGCAAUGCUCUCUACAUGGGGCUCCCCUUGAAGAGCACCCGGAGGUCCAGAAUGCAGCUGCGCGGGUGAUAGAGGGAGCUGCUCGUGGCUCCCAUAUAAUACCAUAUAAUACCAAUCCUGCGCAAGCUGCACUGGCUGCCUGUGGUCUUCCGGGUGCACUUCAAGGUGUUGGUUACCACCUUUAAAGUGCUCCAUGGUUUAGGACCGGAUUAUUUAUGGGACCACCUACUGCCACCGUUUGCCUCCCACCGACCUGUGCGCUCUCACAGAGAGGGACUCCUUAGGGUGCCAUCAGCCAAGCAAUGUCAGUUGGCGGCCCCCAGGGGAAGGGCCUUCUCUGUGGGGGCUCCUACCCUAUGGAACGAACGUCCCUCUGGACUCCGACAACUCCCUGACCUUCGGACCUUCCGCCGUGAGCUGAAGACAUACCUAUUUUUCCGCGCAGGACUGGCAUAAAAUUUUUAGACGUUAUGAUUGGGUUUUUAAUUUUUAAUUGGGUUUUAUGGUUUUUAAAUGUAUUUAAAAUUGGGGCCAAAUUUGAAUAAGUUUUUUAGUUAUUGUUUUAUCUGUAUUGUGUUAUUGAUUGUAGUUUUUACUUGGCUGUAAACUGCCCUGAGUCCUUUGGGAGAAGGGCGGUAUACAAAUUAAAUAAUAAUAAUAAUAAUAAUAAUAAUAAUAAUAAUAAUAAUAAUAAUAAUAAUAAUAAUAAUAAUAAUAAUAAUAAUAAUAAUAAUAAUUAAAUGUUAAAAAUUUUCAAACUGUAAGAACAAUUUUACCAAUAAUUCAGAGAAGCGAACUUUUGAGACUUUUAAUUUGAAAUCUUCCACUAAGUAGAGAAAUGGCCUAAAUGAUCCCUUCCAACUCUUUGAUAUCUUUCAGAACUUCAACUUCCUGGCUAGACUCUAUUUGGAGAAGCAAAUAUUUCGUUCCCUUUUCAUUCUUUAAUAGAAAACCCAGUAGUUACAUCUUUAUAGGAAAACUUGUGUGCUUCUUUACUUAAAAAUCUAGUAUCCAGAGAAGCAAUACCUUUAUUAUGCCAGCUGUCAAGUGUCAAGACAUAUUGAACACCAAUUAGGGACAAAUAAUCAUGGAUAAAAAUCUAACUUUACUUAAUGUUUAAAAACAUUUUCAAUACAAAUUGAGUGUUUGAUUGAAGCAUUCUGAAUAAGGGUCUGUUUAAGAAAGAAAAUUUCCCUUCAAGGCAUUCCUACCAAACAGACAUUAACCUAUCAAAGUUUCCAUUAGUUUUUCUUGUAAUUAGCAACCACGGAUAUUACACUUCCAAGUCUACUGCCCUCUAGCUAAU